AGAUUUUGUUCAGACCUUGCUGAAGCCACACUUAACCAAAUAUGUUGAGGGAAAGGCAGUAAAAGAAAAUUCGAGCUUUAUCCCACACUUCUGGAAAUUUAUUUUGCAGGAGCGAGCCAAAGUAUUAAGAAGCCAGCCUGCUCAGACCGUGGGGCCCAAAGGACUUCUCUAUGUCCAGCAAAGAGAAUUUGCAGCAACUACUCCUAAGGAUGGUUCUGUUUCUGUUCUUGGAUCAGAGGAUGCCACUACCUGUCACUUAGUUGUACUUCAGCACACUGGUACUUCACAUCUG